rnacentral:SRP_RNA from 1 species
GCUGGGUGCAGUAGUGCAUGCCUGUAGUCCCAGCUACUUGGGAGACUGAGGUGGGAGGAUCACUUGAGCCCAGGAGUUCUGGGCUGUAGUGCACUAUGCCGAUCAGGUGUCCGCACUAAGUUCGGCAUCAAUAUGGUGACUUCCUGGAAACGGGGGACCACCACGUUGCCUAAGGAGGGGUGAACCAGCCCAGGUCGGAAACAGAGCAGGUCAAAACUCCCGUGCUGAUCAGUAGUGGGAUCGUGCCUGUGAACAGCCACUGCACUCCAGCCUGGGCAACAUAGCAAAACCCUGUCUCU